rnacentral:rRNA from 1 species
GAUGAACGCUAGCGGCAGGCUUAACACAUGCAAGUCGAGGGGCAGCGGGGUAGCAAUACCGCCGGCGACCGGCAAACGGGUGCGGAACACGUACAGAAUCUACCCUUAUCCGGGGCAUAGCCCGGAGAAAUCCGGAUUAACUCCCCAUAAUAUGAUGGAGUGGCAUCACUCUACCAUUAAAAAUUUAUUGGAUAAGGAUGACUGUGCGUCCCAUUAGCUAGUUGGUAGGGUAACGGCCUACCAAGGCGACGAUGGGUAGCUGGUGUGAGAGCACGACCAGCCACACGGGCAAGGAGACCCGGGCCCGACUGCGACGGGAGGCGGCAGUGAGUAAUAGUGGUCAAUGGACGCAAGUCUGAACCAGCCAUGCCGCGUGAAGGAUGAAGGCCUUCUGGGUUGUAAACUUCUUUUAUUGGGGAAGAAAAUUACGGUUUCUACUGUAACCGACGGUACCCAAGGAAUCAGCACCGGCUAACUCCGUGCCAGCCGCCGCGGUAACAC